UACAGAGGGCUCAAGCGUUGUUCGGAAUCACUGGGCUUAAAGGGCGCGUAGGCGGUCCGACAAGUCAGGGGUGAAAUCCUGCAGCUUAACUGCAGAAGUGCCUUUGAUACUGUCGGUCUUGAGGGAGAUAGGGGUGUGCGGAACUCACAGUGGAGCGGUGAAAUGCGUUGAUAUUGUGAGGAACGCCGGAGGCGAAAGCGGCGCACUGGAUCUCUUCUGACGCUGAGGCGCGAAGGUCAGGGGAGCAAACGGG
rnacentral:rRNA from 1 species